rnacentral:rRNA from 1 species
GACGGAGGGUGCUAGCGUUGUUCGGAAUCACUGGGCGUAAAGGGCGCGUAGGCGGCCUUGCAAGUCGGUUGGUGAAAGCCCGGGGCUCAACCCCGGAGGUGCGGCCGAGACUGCAGGGCUGGAGGCCGGAAGAGGAGGGUGGAAUACCCAGUGUAGAGGUGAAAUGCGCAGAUAUCGGGAGGAACACCAGUGGCGAAGGCGGCUAUCUGGACGGUUUCUGACGCUAAGACGCGAAAGCGUGGGGAGCAAACAGG